rnacentral:lncRNA from 1 species
GUAAAAUGGGUAUGAUGCCAAAAGUUUAGUAUUGUUACAGGUAUUAUAUCUGGAAAUAAAUGUUUUAUAAAACUGUAAAAACUCUAGUAGUUGGGAGCUGUGGCUUAUACCUGUAAUCCCAGAGCUUUGAGAGGCCAAGGCAGGAGGAUUGCUUGAGGCCAGGACUGAGAGAUCAGCCUGGGCAACAUAGUGAGACCCCCAUCUCUACAAAAAAUUUAGAAAAUUAGCCAGUCUUAGUGGCAUGGGCCAAUAGUUCUAGCUACUCCAUAGGCCGAGGCAGGAGGAUCCUUUAAGCUCAAGGGUAAGCAGCUGUAGUGAGCUUUGAUUGUGCCACUGCACUCCAGCCUGGGCGACCGUGAGACUUCAUCUCUUUUUUUUUUUUAAAAGUUCUGUAAUUACUACUGACCUCCCAAGGUGAUAUUUCAACCGUUGCCUUCACCCUUAUUCCAGAAAUACUAAAACUUUAGAAUUAUUUUUGAGGCAAUCAUCUUGAUUUUCCUCUCCUACAAGGUAAAUAUUUUUAAGUGUAAAGUUUUGGAGCUUAUAUUUAUGAAUAUUUGCAAGGCUUUUUUCCCCUCCGCCUCCUUUCAUGCAAACAAUUGAAGUGGCUAGCUUUUCUCCUCUCCUGGAAUAAAGGAAGUGAAUUAGCAAUUGAAUAUAUAACCUAGGACUUCUCUAAAUUAGGCACCUGUGGGUACCCUUAGGGUCCAUAUGCUUACAAUAUGAGUUUCUAUCACCAUUAUUACUUGUUUUUUGAAGGCCUGAUGCAAAGCCUAUUAAGAUAUUGAAAAGGACUAAUAGCUAUUUAUCCAUUUGCCUCUCCAUACUUCAUCAUCUUAGUCACCUACUGCCACCUUCGAAAAACACGGAGAGCACCUACCCAGAGGAGAAGGUAGAUUUGGAGUAAGCCGCCGUCGACAUAAUUCCUCUGAUGGUUUUUUUAACAAUGGUCCCCUACGAACUGCAGGAGAUUCUUGGCACCAGCCCUCCCUGUUCCGCCAUGAUUCUGUGGACUCUGGUGUCUCUAAGGGAGCAUAUGCUGGAAUCACAGGGAACCCAUCUGGUUGGCAUAGCUCUUCCCGAGGUCAUGAUGGCAUGAGCCAACGUAGUGGAGGUGGCACAGGGAACCAUCGCCAUUGGAAUGGCAGCUUCCACUCCCGGAAAGGGUGUGCUUUUCAGGAAAAGCCACCUAUGGAGAUUAGGGAAGAAAAGAAAGAAGACAAGGUGGAAAAGUUGCAGUUUGAAGAGGAGGACUUUGUAAGUAUGAAUCUUUAGAUGUGUGGUUAGAAGCCAACAAAUAAUGUCUGAAAUAUGAGACCCUGUUAGUAAUGAGAACAUUUCAGAAAUUACAGAAAAAGGAAUUUGUAAGUUGAGGUUUUUAUUGUUUUAGAGGAAAGAAGUUAAGUUGAUAAUAUUUGAAAAUGGUGACCAAAACUCCUAUGUAACUUGUAGCAAAUUUUUCAUCUUUGUGUCUUUGGAAUUUAGAAAAAUAUUUAAUUUCUCUUAAGUCUUAUAAAGUUUACUCAAAU